GUUUACAGUCGAUAUUUUCACGAGAAUUUACGAGUCGUUGGUCAGAGAACGAUACUUUAAUAAACCUAUAUUCGAUGCAUCGUGCAUAAGAGAACUUCGAACGUAUAAUAAAUCCUUGUUGAGACUUAUUGUUCCUUGGGGGCCCGACGCGAGGAAGAGAACAAGUAAAAGAAGAAAUCUUCAUAAUAGAGACUCCUACGGAACCUUCGUGAACAAAUGUGAGAACAUCGAAGCUGUUUGUUACCCAAGGAUUCAUGCUGCUUCGACAGAAUGGAGCUUCUAAAACUCUAUUUAAAUUCACUUUUUACCGUGUAACCGUGAUUAAGUACAAGUUAUCUUGUAAUCGAUGAUUUUUGUGCAAAA